CAUGCAAGUCGAACGAGAAAUUCCGGGCUUGCUCGGGAGAGUAAAGUGGCGAACGGGUGAGUAACGCGUGGGUAACCUGCCCCUGAAUCUGGAAUAACUCGCCGAAAGGCGUGCUAAUACCGGAUAUCGUCCCAGGGACCGUGGUCCUUGUGAUGAAAGAUGACCUCUUCACGAAAGUUGUCGUUCAGGGAGGGGCUCGCGUACCAUUAGCUAGUUGGUAGGGUAAUGGCCUACCAAGGCGAUGAUGGUUAGCUGGUCUGAGAGGAUGACCAGCCACACUGGCACUGAAACACGGGCCAGACUCCUACGGGAGGCAGCAGUGAGGAAUUUUGCGCAAUAGGGGAAACCCUGACGCAGCAACGCCGCGUGAGUGAAGAAGGCCCUCGGGUCGUAAAGCUCUGUCAAGUGGGAAAAAAGCUUGCUGGUGAACAGCCAGCAAGACUGAUGG
rnacentral:rRNA from 1 species